rnacentral:misc_RNA from 1 species
GUAGGUGAACCUGCGGAAGGAUCAUUAACACGUAUCCACGUUAAUCACCCGAGAACUUCUUAGGAACAGAGUCCUUGUGACUCUCUCCUUUGAUUUUUCAAUAGCUUUAAAGAAUGAACAAGGAACUUAACCUGAGCUUGCUCAUGGUUAUUGGACCUUUUUCAAUCUUUUCUGUUAUUGAAGCCUUUAGGGGACAAAUCUUCGGAUGCGACCCUUAAAGGUUACUUGAAACCCCUUUUUUCUAACUUAA